UUUUCCACCACUUUUAACUUUUGCAUGUCAUCGAUCCUUACGUCUCUUUCACCUGUGGGAGCACAUCAAAAAGGACAAAGAAGGGACUGCAAAAACUCGAGAGGGAAGUCCACAUCAUGUGCUAUCUCUUCACAGCUUUAAGAACUGUGUUCCUGAACACACAACUCAGGGUGCUUUGCGACGAGGAACAGCAUGAAGAGCACAGAGACAGACAUGGUGUCAGGGGCCGCGAUCAGCAUCUCCAGGAUGCACU